CAGAGGGUGCGAGCGUUGUUCGGAAUUAUUGGGCGUAAAGCGCGUGUAGGCGGUGAUGCAUGUCGGGUGUGAAAGCCCUCAGCUCAACUGAGGAAGUGCGCCCGAAACUGCAUCGCUGGAGUGCCGGAGAGGAAGGCGGAAUUCCCGGUGUAGAGGUGAAAUUCGUAGAUAUCGGGAGGAACACCAGUGGCGAAGGCGGCCUUCUGGACGGACACUGACGCUGAGACGCGAAAGCGUGGGUAGCAAACAGGAUUAGAUACCCUGGUAGUCCACGCCGUAAACGAUGGGAACUAGGUGUGUCGGGUUUUGACCCCUGACGUGCCGUAGCUAACGCAUUAAGUUCCCCGCCUGGGAAGUACGGUCGCAAGACUA
rnacentral:rRNA from 1 species